AUCUUUUUUGGUGUUCAGCACGAGAGAAUUUGAGUCUCUAAGAGGAUUUACUCCAAAAGAU
rnacentral:tRNA from 1 species